CACUGAUUUAACUGUGUGUAGCAGAAUGAACGUCCGAGUUCUUGAAAAAAAAAUACAACACUUCAGAAUUCAGUAUUUUGGAGAGUGCUUGCCUUUGUGAUCGUUUGGUGCGGUGUAAUAGAACUAUCGGCAAAGAAUUGAAUUUCAUCAGUGUUGAAUAUGGGGUAAAACAAACUAGAGUGCUAGGAAUUUGAUUUCGAGCGAACAUUGAAAUAGAAAAAUAACUUCUUCGCUCGCAAGAAACAAAGAUACGGUCUCGCAGGAAAUUAAGAUAUGGUUAACGUAUUAAGAUCCAUCAUGAAUGUGUUUAAUAAUAACAUCGGCAGUUGGCCAAAAGAGACCACAUAUAGUUUUACUCUAAGUAACUGGAUAAAAAUUGGUGACAUUUAUAGCUGUCCGAAGUCCACAUGUUUAUUUGUUUGUUCUAUUUGUGUGGAAGCAAGAGAAGGAAAGGCCGAUGAAAUUUUUUCAACAAUUAAUGUAUCCGAUUUUUUAGGCCACAUUAAUACAGAACAUCAACAAAUUCCCCAGCAUCUGCAGAACAAUGAGUCAAGCUUUAUGUGAAUGCCCAUCUAGUGACCCUGCUUUAAAUGUAAUAGCGAAUGUGGAUGAUGAUGAUGAAGAAUGUACAUAUAUCCUAUGGAAAAAUAAUGCCAUCAAAUGGAAAUGUAAUAGUUUCUACUCAAUAAAUUCAUUUCUUACAUUUUUGAAA